UAAUGGUUCACAAUUUAGGCCAAAUAAUACUGACGAACGUAAGUUUGUGCAUUUCUGGUUAACAUGCUAGCGAAUCCUUGAUUAAUUAUUUAUGUUUUCUGGAAUGAAAUUAUCAAACUUUUUCUCUCAAAAAAAGACGAAAAUUGAGCUAUCACAAUACAUCGAAAUUGUACAUUUACUAUGGCAGGCAAAACACUAUAAUCGCUAAUUUGUAUUGCUAUCCUAUAUGCAUUUUGUAUAGGCCAGAAAGUAGCAUACUUUAUAAUACUUAUGCAUGCACAAAUCUCUAAAACACAUCAUUAGGUAUGUAAAUAAGUAUUAUAAAUGAGCCAGGUACUUUUUAUAGCCAUGUACCUUUUUUUCCACCAAAAUUGACUAAUUUCAAGUUAUAUGGUAAGAUUUGAAUUUCGGGAAAAAAUCCCGGGAUUUGUCACGGCUAAAACCGGGAUUCCCGAUUCCCGGGAUUUAAAAAAUCGUCCGGGAUUGGAAUCCCUAC